GACGUAGGGCGCGAGCGUUUGUCCGGAAUUAUUGGGCGUAAAGAGCUCGUAGGCGGCUUGUCGCGUCGGCUGUGAAAACCUGGGGCUCAACCCCGGGCCUGCAGCCGAUACGGGCAAGCUAGAAUUCGGUAGGGGAGACUGGAAUUCCUGGUGUAGCGGUGAAAUGCGCAGAUAUCAGGAGGAACACCGGUGGCGAAGGCGGGUCUCUGGGCCGAUAUUGACGCUGAGGAGCGAAAGCGUGGGGAGCGAACAGG
rnacentral:rRNA from 1 species